AAAGCAAGUCCUUUUCCAAAUUAGCCAGAAGAGAAUGCCUUUGUUUGUUUGUUUAACAACCUUAUGAAUCAUAAGCAUCCAGGACAGUUUUAUUAAGGCCUCCAGUUUCCCGUGCCCAAGGCCUGCUCUCAAAGCCAGACUCACCUGGAGGUGGACACUGACGGGCUUCAGUAUUUAAAGAAAAUCAAUAGCAAGGAUUGAAAAGGUUUAUCAACAACAUUCUACAGACACGUAGGAAUGCUCAGGCCCUUCUUUUUUUUUUUUUCCACAACGAGUCAGAAAUACGAAGGAUAAGAUUUCUGUUUUAGAUUUAGGUCCCUAAGUGGGACCUAACUAGGUGAAACAGAGCAGCUACUACUGCCGGCAUGAACUCACAGGAAUGACCCAGCUGGCAGCAGGCUUUCUUCAGGUGCUGGAAUGCUCAAUUAGGUCACCCUGAAGUCUUCUCCAGGCUGAACAAUCCCAAUCCUCUCAGCCUUUCCUGGAAGAGACAUUGCCAUUGAAUACUGAGGAAAAAAGUUAUCUAAGAGUACCUCAACCUUCUCCUUGUAACCUGUUUUCCAGCAUUGUGUACUGGUCUUGCCAAGUAAUGAAUCCAUGCCUGGGAUUUGCAAAGGGAAUACCUGGAAUGAUCUAUGGCCAAACAUUACAUAACUACAAGGGCAUCCUUAAAGAAUGUCAUGUGUAUCAAGGUCUCCUGAAGUCACAGCAUACAAAAAAAUCCCAUAUCCAGGUAACUGGCUGGAUAGAAAAGUUCUGCUUUUGAAGGAAGCUUCAGUGAAUAUUCAUGUAUGUAAACAGUCUAAAGUAGCAAAGUUAUAUAUCACUGACUGGAGUUUCCUGAAGUGUGUUGGCUUGUUGUAUAUUCACUUCCCUUUCUACUCCACCACUCCCUCUCAUCCUUUCUCCUUCAGUGUCCUUUGGGAAACUUUUGGCUCUAGGAGUUCGAGUAAACACUGGGUCUACUCCACUCUCAGUUCUUUUCUUGCAGGACUGAAAUCCCAGAUUCAGGUCAUAUAUACAAUUGCAAAUGCAGGUAUUCUUUUACUGGACCUGGCCCUUUAUUUGCUCUGGGCACGUGAAGAAGCAAAACUCUAAUAUUAAGAGAACUUCCAGGAGUGUACCUCCAAGGAUACCUUGUGGUUUGUGGGUUUAUUUUUCCUAAGGCAUGAUUUAGACUUGAAUCUGAGAUCUGCCCAAAGCCUUUAUUGAGCCUAAUUUGUCACUCAACAAUCAAUACAUUUGAAAUUAGUUCCUGUCCUCAGAGAGUAUUUAAAUAUAUACUUCGAUGCAUGCAUAGGUUUUCUGAGAUGAUGGUAAAUCUGUAAAAAUAUAGUAGAUAGGUGUAACAGAAAACACAGAAUGAUUAACAUAAAAAGAAGAAAAAAUAUUGAUAGUUAACUAAACACAAAAUAGUGUAGUUACACUAUUCCCAUUAUAGAGUGGAAACAGGGGAACCUGGAAAAAAAACAACCAGACAUGAUAAAAAGAGUAAGUGAAACAAUUUUGAACAAUGGGCAGGAGUGGGAGUCUGAAGAAUAAGAGAUUAGAAAUUCCUACA